rnacentral:lncRNA from 1 species
AUCCUGUUGAUCAUCUGAGGUCAUAGAGUGUUAUUAUUAUCUUACUUGUUGUAUGAUUUGGGAAGAGGGAGAUCGUGUCUCCUACAUUAAAGAUCGCUUUUAAUUUCAUUUGUAUUAUGUAAGAUUAUAUAUAUAUAAUGGAAUAUAUGCACCUCCUAUUUGUAAAUAAUGAAGCAUAAAAAUAUUUAAAAAUAACACCCUUAGCCAGGGAGCAGAGGGGAACCCAGGUAUCCCGACGAGGCCCCUUCGCCUCAAACUGUGACACCUUCUCACAUGUGCUGUGUCUGACACCAUACAAAAUGCUGAUCAGGGCAAAGCUCGUUUAGUGCUCAUGAGGCCCUGCAAGGC